rnacentral:rRNA from 1 species
UAAUUUGAAGAAGGUAUCUUUGGGUCUGGCUCUUGUCUAUGUUUCUUGGAACAGAACGUCACAGAGGGUGAGAAUCCCGUGCGAUGAGAUGAUCCAGGCCUAUGUAAAGUUCCUUCGAAGAGUCGAGUUGUUUGGGAAUGCAGCUCUAAGUGGGUGGUAAAUUCCAUCUAAAGCUAAAUAUUGGCGAGAGACCGAUAGCGAACAAGUACAGUGAUGGAAAGAUGAAAAGAACUUUGAAAAGAGAGUGAAAAAGUACGUGAAAUUGUUGAAAGGGAAGGGCUUGAGAUCAGACUUGGUAUUUUGUAUGUUACUUCUUCGGGGGUGGCCUCUACAGUUUAUCGGGCCAGCAUCAGUUUGGGCGGUAGGAGAAUUGCGUUGGAAUGUGGCACGGCUUCGGUUGUGUGUUAUAGCCUUCGUCGAUACUGCCAGCCUAGACUGAGGACUGCGGUUUAUACCUAGGAUGUUGGCAUAAUGAUCUUAAGUCGCCCGUCU